GACGAACGCUGGCGGCGUGCUUAACACAUGCAAGUCGAACGGAAAGGCCCUUCGGGGUACUCAAGUGGCGAACGGGUGAGUAACACGUGGGUGAUCUGCCCUGCACUUUGGGAUAAGCCUGGGAAACUGGGUCUAAUACCGAAUAGGACCACGCGCUUCAUGGUGUGUGGUGGAAAGCUUUUGCGGUGUGGGAUGGGCCCGCGGCCUAUCAGCUUGUUGGUGGGGUAAUGGCCUACCAAGGCGACGACGGGUAGCCGGCCUGAGAGGGUGACCGGCCACACUGGGACUGAGAUACGGCCCAGACUCCUACGGGAGGCAGCAGUGGGGAAUAUUGCACAAUGGGCGCAAGCCUGAUGCAGCGACGCCGCGUGAGGGAUGACGGCCUUCGGGUUGUAAACCUCUUUCAAUAGGGACGAAGCGCAAGUGACGGUACCUAUAGAAGAAGCACCGGCCAACUACGUG
rnacentral:rRNA from 1 species